AAGCGAAACUUGUAAGCUUUGUAACAUACAGUUCUAAGGUUAAAUGGAGGCCGUAAAAGAUAUGAACACCGACGUUAAAAUAAAAAAUAAGCUCCUCUUUAAACGUUGAAGAAAACUUCUCGGGUCAGCGCGUAUUGCUUUUAUCAUCAUCAUUAGAAACAAGCCUUAAAGACAAGAACAUCUUCACAUAUAUAUUGUUGCUAAAUAGUUUUUACAAAGGAGGAGAGAGCAGUUUACGGUUGAUUGGGAAUGAUUUCUUGACAGUAUUACUAUCUGUAAAUUACAGUUGGUAAUGAAUUACUAAAUAUGCUUCAUGGCUUUUGACAAAAAUCCAACAUACCACCAACACAAACGGAUGUAAAUCACAUCACAUAAAUUUAUUUCGAUUUUGUGCAUCAUAUAAGUAUCCACAAACAUUAGGCUAAUUCCUGCAUUCUUAAAUCCAUUAUCGAUAAAUAGAAAAGGUAGAUGUAUGGAAUGCGAAAGAUGCACAAUAGGGAAUAAAUAUAUAAAAGAAAAAGAUAGGCGUUGAAAAAGAAAUAUUAUUUUUGUCUUUUGUGUGAACUAAAAGAAACUUUCACUGGUGUUUUGCCAUAGCCAGCACUCUGAUCUUUCUUUCAUUUUCCACAGGGUAUAACAAAUAGCACGCAGAGUGUCUAGCAUGUAUAUAAUAUAGAAAAGGGCGGAAAUUAAACAGUUAUAAAUUAAUAGGCAUUGCAUC